GAUGAACGCUGGCGGUCUGCUUAACACAUGCAAGUCGAACGAACUCUUCGGAGUGAGUGGCGGACGGGUGAGUAACGCGUGAGAAUCUGCCUGUGGGUCGGGGACAACCACUGGAAACGGUGGCUAAUACCGGAUGAGCCGAAAGGUAAAGAUUUAUUGCCCACAGAUGAGCUCGCGUCUGAUUAGCUAGUUGGUAAGGUAAAAGCGUACCAAGGCGACGAUCAGUAGCUGGUCUGAGAGGAUGAGCAGCCACACUGGGACUGAGACACGGCCCAGACUCCUACGGGAGGCAGCAGUGGGAAUUUUCCGCAAUGGGCGAAAGCCUGACGGAGCAAUACCGCGUGAGGGAAGAAGGCCUUUGGGUUGUAAACCUCUUUUCUCAAGAAAGAAGCUCUGACGGUACUUGACGAAUAAGCAUCGGCUAACUCCGUGCCAGCAGCCGCGGUAAU
rnacentral:rRNA from 1 species